rnacentral:rRNA from 1 species
UACGGGGGGGGCAAGCGUUGUUCGGAAUUACUGGGCGUAAAGGGCGCGUAGGCGGCUUAACAAGUCUGUUGUGAAAUCUCGGGGCUCAACUCCGAACGUGCAGUGGAAACUGUUAGGCUAGAGUGCAGUAGAGGUUGGUGGAAUUCCCAGUGUAGAGGUGAAAUUCGUAGAUAUUGGGAGGAACACCGGUGGCGAAGGCGGCCAACUGGGCUGUAACUGACGCUGAGGCACGAAGGCCAGGGGAGCAAACGGG